rnacentral:lncRNA from 1 species
CAAAUCGAUCACCCGGAUGUGUUGCUCAGUUAGGAGUUUCUACAUCUGGGUGUGAGACACAGUUCAGAGGGAUGUGGCUUGGGUUGAGCUGCGGCCAGACAAUCUGGAAUGUGUUCUAUUUGGAUGGUUUGAGGACACACGGAAAAGAUCCCUGAGGACACCAAAGGGUAUAAUGGAAAGAGCCAGAGUCCCGGAAGCACCCAUGGGCUGGGAUCCCAGCAGCUCCACCAACUUCCCAUGUGAGUGCCCCUCUGAGCCUCGGUGGGUGGGGCUGGGGAAAGUAUGAAAUGUGACAAAGGCAGUUGAGGUGCCAUAAAAGCAGCCAACCCAUACUCCGUCUCAGCCCUUUUUAGAGACUGAGAGACUUGACAUCAAACCCUCACUGCCUCAAUCUCAAAAAAUCAAAAUGACUCCAGCCUCUGGAACCACUUUCUCGAGAGGCCACGUGGGCAUCUCUGGACCCCGAGAGCUGGGCUUUCAGAUCUGCAAUCUGUCAAUCUGCCUGACAGCCACCUGCGGGCUGGAGGUCUGCAGGUCCACCCUCCCGCCCCAGCAGGUCUGUCCCCAGCUGGGGAGGCAAGCCAUCCCUUCCCCAGGAGGAAGGA